rnacentral:rRNA from 1 species
CCUACGGGAGGCAGCAGUGAGGAAUAUUGGUCAAUGGGCGCGAGCCUGAACCAGCCAAGUCGCGUGAAGGAUGACUGCCCUACGGGUUGUAAACUUCUUUUAUAAGGGACUAAAGUGAGGCACGUGUGCCUUUUUGUAUGUACUUUAUGAAUAAGGCUCGGCUAAAUCCGGGCCAGCCGACCCGGUAAUACGGAGGGUCCGAACGUUAACCGGGCUUAAUGGGUUUAAAGGGAGCGGUAAUCGGUAGGUAAGUCAGUUGGUAAAGUUUGCGGGUUAACCCUCAAACUGCAGUUGAUACUGGCAGUCUUGAGUAGAGUAGAGGUAGGCGGAAUGCGUGGUGUAGCGGUGAAAUGCUUAGAUAUCACGAAGAACUCCGAUUGCGAAGGCAGCUUACUAACCUGCCACUGACGUUGAUGCUCGAAAGUGUGGGUAUCAAACAGGAUUAGAUACCCCGGUAGUC